UACAGAGGUGGCAAGCGUUGUUCGGAAUUACUGGGCGUAAAGCGCGUGUAGGCGGCUCUUCAAGUCAGGCGUGAAAGCCCCGGGCUCAACUCGGGAACUGCGCUUGAUACUGUCGAGCUAGAGUGUGGAAGGGGCGAUUGGAAUUCCGUGUGUAGCGGUGAAAUGCGUAGAUAUACGGAGGAACACCAGCGGCGAAGGCGGCAUCCUGGACUGGUCCUGACACUCAGGAGCGAAAGCGUGGGGAGCGAUCCGG
rnacentral:rRNA from 1 species